rnacentral:rRNA from 1 species
UGGAUCCAGACUUUGAUCCUGCUCAGGAUGAACGCUAGCUACAGGCUUAACACAUGCAAGUCGAGGGGAAACGAUAUUGGAAGCUUGCUUCCGAUAGGCGUCGACCGGCGCACGGGUGAGUAACGCGUAUCCAACCUGCCCACCACUUGGGGAUAACCUUGCGAAAGUAAGACUAAUACCCAAUGAUAUCUCUAGAGGACAUCUGAAAGGGAUUAAAGAUUCAUCGGUGAUGGAUGGGGAUGCGUCUGAUUAGCUUGUUGGCGGGGGUAACGGCCCACCAAGGCGACGAUCAGUAGGGGUUCUGAGAGGAAGGUCCCCCACAUUGGGACUGAGACACGGUCCAAACUCCUACGGGAGGCAGCAGUGAGGAAUAUUGGUCAAUGGACGAGAGUCUGAACCAGCCAAGUAGCGUGCAGGAUGACGGCCCUAUGGGUUGUAAACUGCUUUUAUAAGGGAAUAAAGUGAGUCUCGUGAGACUUUUUGCAUGUACCUUAUGAAUAAGGACCGGCUAAUUCCGUGCCAGCAGCCGCGGUAAUACGGAAGGUCCGGGCGUUAUCCGGAUUUAUUGGGUUUAAAGGGAGCGUAGGCCGGAGAUUAAGCGUGUUGUGAAAUGUAGACGCUCAACGUCUGCACUGCAGCGCGAACUGGUUCCCUUGAGUACGCACAAAGUGGGCGGAAUUCGUGGUGUAGCGGUGAAAUGCUUAGAUAUCACGAAGAACUCCGAUUGCGAAGGCAGCUCACUGGAGCGCAACUGACGCUGAAGCUCGAAAGUGCGGGUAUCGAACAGGAUUAGAUACCCUGGUAGUCCGCACGGUAAACGAUGGAUGCCCGCUGUUGGUCUGAAUAGGUCAGCGGCCAAGCGAAAGCAUUAAGCAUCCCACCUGGGGAGUACGCCGGCAACGGUGCAACUCAAAGGAAUUGACGGA